rnacentral:rRNA from 1 species
UGGGGAAUUUUGGACAAUGGGCGCAAGCCUGAUCCAGCCAUUCCGCGUGAGUGAAGAAGGCCUUCGGGUUGUAAAGCUCUUUCGCAAGGGAAGAAAACUUACAUUCUAAUAAAGUGUGAGGCUGACGGUACCUUGAUAAGAAGCACCGGCUAACUACGUGCCAGCAGCCGCGGUAAUACGUAGGGUGCGAGCGUUAAUCGGAAUUACUGGGCGUAAAGCGUGCGCAGGCGGUUUGGCAAGUCAGAUGUGAAAUCCCCGAGCUCAACUUGGGAACUGCGUUUGAAACUGCCAGACUAGAAUAUGUCAGAGGGGGGUAGAAUUCCACGUGUAGCAGUGAAAUGCGUAGAGAUGUGGAGGAAUACCAAUGGCGAAGGCAGCCCCCUGGGAUAAUAUUGACGCUCAUGCACGAAAGCGUGGGGAGCAAACAGG